GGUGUACCUCAGUGGUAGAGCACUUGCCUAGCACAUGUGAGGCACUGGGUUCAAUCCUCAGCACCA
rnacentral:tRNA from 1 species